CCUACGGGAGGCAGCAGUGAGGAAUAUUGGUCAAUGGCCGGAAGGCUGAACCAGCCAUGCCGCGUGAAGGUCAGUGCCCUAUGGGCGUUAAACUUCUUUUGUGCGGGAGCAAUAAUGGUCACGUGUGGCCAGACGAGAGUACCGUACGAAUAAGCAUCGGCUAACUCCGUGCCAGCAGCCGCGGUAAUACGGGGGAUGCAGGCGUUAUCCGGAUUUCUUGGGUUUAAAGGGUGCGUAGGCGGUGAGGUAAGGCAGCGGUGAAAGUUUGCGGCUUAACCGUAAAAUUGCAAUUGAUACUGGCGGCCUUGAGUACAGUUGAGGUAGGCGGAAUUCGUGGUGUAGCGGUGAAAUGCUUAGAUAUCACGAAGAACUCCGAUUGCGAAGGCAGCCUACUAAACUGCCACUGACAUUGAUGCUCGAAAGUGUGGGUAUCAAACAGGAUUAGAUACCCGGGUAGUC
rnacentral:rRNA from 1 species